rnacentral:lncRNA from 1 species
ACAUUCUGCCUCAUUUGAUAGGCUCAGGGCUUCACCUCUGUGGAAGAAAAGAUGUGGUACAUCAUGUUUUGAAGAACAUAAGCAGAUUUGAUAGAAGUCUGGAAGUAAGGACCUACUUUCAUGAAAAUGGAAAUUUAAGGCUGCAUGGAUUUCACUUCUGUCUCUCAAGCAACCAUCUCGGACCAUGUUUCUUGGGAAAAAAGAUACCCAUUUCAGGUCUCCAGCAGCAAAGAGCAUUGGUGCUAUGGAGGGGCUGUGGAAUGAUAGAAUUUCCAAUACAUUUCUGGAGUCUUUCCAGGGGAGACUUUUAAAAAGUAGAGCAUGUGCUUUCUGGAAAGUAAUAGGAUAAAGUGUUUGCGGCAGUUUCUCAAAUGCAAAGGAGCUAUGUGCAUCACAGAGAGGUUUGCAUCAAGUGGUUUGACAAAGUCAAAUUCA